AUUGAACGCUGGCGGCAGGCCUAACACAUGCAAGUCGAACGAGUGGCGGACGGGUGAGUAAUGUCUGGGAAACUGCCUGAUGGAGGGGGAUCACUACUGGAAACGGUAGCUAAUACCGCAUACCAUCAGAUGUGCCCAGAUUGGAUGAGCUCGUAGGUGGGGUAACGGCUAAACUAGGCGACGAUCCAUAGCUGGUCUGAGAGGAGGACCAGCCACACUGGAACUGAGACACGGUCCAGACGCCUACGGGAGGCAGCAGUGGGGAAUAUUGCACAAUGGGCGCAAGCCUGAUGCAGCCAUGCCGCGUGUAUGAAGAAGGCCGUCGGGUUGUAAAGUACUUGCAGCGGGGAGGCGUUACCCGCAGAAGAAGCACCGGCUAACUCCGUGCCAGCAGCCGCGGUAAUUC
rnacentral:rRNA from 1 species